rnacentral:rRNA from 1 species
UUAGAGUUUGAUCCUGGCUCAGGACGAACGCUGGCGGCGUGCUUAACACAUGCAAGUCGAACGAUGAAGCCUUUCGGGGUGGAUUAGUGGCGAACGGGUGAGUAACACGUGGGCAAUCUGCCCUGCACUCUGGGACAAGCCCUGGAAACGGGGUCUAAUACCGGAUAAUACCUUCCUUCGCAUGGGGGUGGGUUCAAAGCUCCGGCGGUGCAGGAUGAGCCCGCGGCCUAUCAGCUUGUUGGUGAGGUAGUGGCUCACCAAGGCGACGAUCAGUAGCUGGUCUGAGAGGACGACCAGCCACACUGGGACUGAGACACGGCCCAGACUCCUACGGGAGGCAGCAGUGGGGAAUUUUGGACAAUGGGCGCAAGCCUGAUCCAGCAAUGCCGCGUGAGUGAAGAAGGCCUUCGGGUUGUAAAGCUCUUUUGUCAGGGAAGAAACGGCCGAGGUUAAUACCUUUGGCUAAUGACGGUACCUGAAGAAUAAGCACCGGCUAACUACGUGCCAGCAGCCGCGGUACGC